GCCCGGCCGGCGCUUGCCGAUCAACCCAAAUUUUUAUCCAGG
rnacentral:rRNA from 1 species